rnacentral:rRNA from 1 species
UACGUAGGGUGCAAGCGUUAAUCGGAAUUACUGGGCGUAAAGCGUGCGCAGGCGGUUUUGUAAGACUGUCGUGAAAUCCCCGGGCUCAACCUGGGAAUGGCGAUGGUGACUGCAAGGCUAGAGUUUGGCAGAGGGGGGUAGAAUUCCACGUGUAGCAGUGAAAUGCGUAGAUAUGUGGAGGAACACCGAUGGCGAAGGCGGCUACCUGGCACAUAACUGACGCUGAUACGCGAAAGCGUGGGGAGCGAACCGG